UACGUAGGGUGCAAGCGUUGUCCGGAAUUAUUGGGCGUAAAGAGCUCGUAGGCGGUUUGUCGCGUCUGCUGUGAAAACCCGAGGCUCAACCUCGGGCCUGCAGUGGGUACGGGCAGACUAGAGUGCGGUAGGGGAGAUUGGAAUUCCUGGUGUAGCGGUGGAAUGCGCAGAUAUCAGGAGGAACACCCGUGGCGAAGGCGGCCCCCUGGGUCGGCCCUGACGCUGAGGCGCGAAAGCGUGGGGAGCGAACGGG
rnacentral:rRNA from 1 species